UCGGAUGCCAUCAACUACUGUGUAGAGUCGCUCCGGUUGAAUUCGUCAGCAGGAUGAAAUCGCUGGCUUCAUUCGGCGUGUUUAUGGCUUUAUUAACCCGGGUCCAUUCCGAUAUCGUGUUGAUUCAGCCCCCAGCGGAGACAGUCAGACCCGGAGCAUCCGUGACACUCACAUGUAAAACCAGCGGGUUUAAUCUCAAUAGCUAUUGGAUGCACUUGGUCCGUCAGGUCCCUGGAAAAGGGCUGCAAUGGCUCCUUGCAUACUACAGUCCUUCAAGCAAGUAUUUCGCCCCGGGCAUCCAGAACAGAUUCAUUCCGUCCAAAGACGGCACAAACAAUAUGUUUAGUGUUGAAGUGAGCCGGCUGCAAACGGACGAUACCGCUGUCUAUUACUGUGCGAGAGACACAGCAAUAUAUCACUGUGAUAAUAUGGAUUACUGGGGAGGAGGCACCAUGUUGACGGUGACAGCCGCGGGUGAGUCUGCACCCAUCGUCUACCCUCUACUUUCCUGUGAACAAUCCAGUGCCGAUGAAACAGUCACUUUCGGCUGCUUGGCGAAGGAUUACUCCCCGGUGGGUAUCAACGUCUACUGGAAGAAAGAUGAAGCGAACAUCACAACAGGAAUUAAUACCUAUCCGGCUGUGUUAAACGAGAAUGGAUCUUAUACACGGAGCAGCGAGUUAACAGUCAGCGAGACGCAAGCGGGCAGCAGCGCCAUCUAUUGUGUCGUUCAGCAUAAAGAUACAGUCCAGGAAGUUGAAAUGCCUCCUCUAGAGGUUCAUCAUCCAACUAUCGCUAUCUCCGUGAGCUCCCCUGAAGAUAUUAGGAGGAGCAGAAGAGGGACCGCAGUUUGUUCUAUCACCGACUUCCAACCGGCGAAAUUCACCGUGCACUGGCUGAAAGAUGGACAGUCGGUGCAUUCUGGUGUGGUCACCUCCCCUGCUUUUAAGGUGAAUGGAAACUUCUCAGCGACAAGCCAAUUGACAUUUGCGGCGACGGACUGGUUCGCAGGCGUUGUCUAUACCUGUCAGGUUACGCACAAAGACUACACCCAAAGUCGAAAUAUCAGCAAUACUCCAGGUCCAUGCUCAUGCGAAGAAGUACAAGUAGAAAUUCAAGAACCACCAGUGGAGCAAGUCUUACUAGAGGCGAGCGUCACAUUAACAUGCGUCAUCACUAAUGCGCCUUACGGCGUCCAAGUGUCUUGGAUGCAAGGCAAACUUGAGCUGAAAUCAGAGAUUGCCUACCAGCCAGGAAAUUCCCUCCAUAGCGUGAUCAGCAAUCUAAAUAUUUCGACACAAUCUUGGUUGAGUGGGGUCCUAUUCGAAUGCGUGGUGAGCCACGAAGAAAUGCCGACCCCAAAAAGAGCAUACAUCCGCAAGGAGGAAGCCUUGCAUCCUCAGCAACCUUCCGUCUCUGUCCUUCUUCCGCCGACAAGUGAAGAGACCACAGAGAACUCCGUCAUCCUCACCUGCUUAGUGAAAGGGUUCUCGCCUAGCAGGAUUUUCGUCACUUGGACGGUCGAAGACACGCGGGUGGAUUCACGCGACUACACGAAUACCGCAGUUGCGGCAGAGAACGGCAACAAUUCAUUCUUCAUGUACAGCUUGUUGUAUGUUCGUUCGGAACAGUGGUUGCGAGGUGCUUCUUUCUCCUGUGUUGUCGCACAUGAAUCCCUCCCGAUGAAGACCAUCGCAAGAACCGUUAAUCGGUCCAGUGGUAAACCCAGUUUUGUCAACAUAUCCCUUGUACUGAUGGAUACUGUCGAUAAUUGUCAAUGAUAAUUUUAUUGUUUUCAACACAUGUUUAAAUAAGUAUCAAUAAAUAUUCU